AUGCUCUCCCUCGCCCGCCGCCCGCUCUCCGCCGCCGUCCCCGCCGGAAACCUCCUCGGCAUCCACCUCUUCCAGUGCCCCGACGCGGUGGGCAUCGUGGCCAAGCUGUCCGAGUGCAUCGCCUCCCGCGGCGGCAACAUCCACAGCGUCGACGUCUUCGUUCCCGACGACGCCCCCGUCUUCUACGCCCGCAGUGAGUUCACCUACAACCCGAGGCUCUGGCCGCGCGACGUGCUUCGCACCGACUUCCUCCGUCUGUCAGACUGCUUCGGUGCACAAAAGUCUACUGUGCGAGUACCUGACAUUGACCCCAAGUACAAGAUUGCAGUCCUCGCGUCCAAGCAGGACCAUUGUUUGUUUGACUUGCUGCAUAGAUGGCAAGAAGGCAGACUCCCAGUUGACAUUCAUUGUGUGAUAAGCAACCAUGAUCGACCUGUAGAUAAUCAUGUGAUGCGUUUUCUUCAGAGGCACGAAAUCCCCUAUCAUUACUUACCUACGACUUCUGGGAAUAAAAGGGAACAGGAGAUACUAGAAUUGAUUGAAGGUACAGAUUUUGUUGUGCUGGCAAGAUAUAUGCAGGUAAUGUCUGAAGGCUUUCUUAAAGCAUAUGGGAAAGAUAUUAUUAAUAUUCACCAUGGCCUCCUUCCCUCGUUCAAAGGAGGAAGUCCUUCUAGACAGGCCUUCAAUGCUGGGGUGAAGUUGAUUGGUGCGACUAGCCAUUUUGUUACUCCAGAACUUGAUGCUGGGCCAAUCAUUGAGCAAAUGGUUGAACGGGUUUCUCACAGGGGCACGUUACAUAGCUUUGUUGUGAAGUCUGAGAACCUUGAGAAGCAAUGCCUAGCAGAAGCUAUCAAGUCAUACCGCGAGCUCCGUGUGCUACCAUAUGAAGUGAUGAAGACUGUUGUGUUUUGA
rnacentral:rRNA from 1 species